rnacentral:rRNA from 1 species
UACGUAGGUGGCAAGCGUUGUCCGGAUUUAUUGGGUUUAAAGGGUGCGUAGGCGGUUUGAUAAGUUAGAGGUGAAAUGUCGGGGCUCAACCCCGAAACUGCCUCUAAUACUGUUGGACUAGAGAAUAGUUGCGGUAGGCGGAAUGUAUGGUGUAGCGGUGAAAUGCUUAGAGAUCAUACAGAACACCGAUUGCGAAGGCAGCUUACCAAACUAUAUCUGACGUUGAGGCACGAAAGCGUGGGUAGCAAACAGG